UGGGUCCUACGGGGGGCAGCAGUGGGGAAUAUUGCACAAUGGGGGAAACCCUGAUGCAGCGACGCCGCGUGAGUGAAGAAGUAUCUCGGUACGUAAAGCUCUAUCAGCAGGGAAGAAAAUGACGGUACCUGACUAAGAAGCCCCGGCUAACUACGUGCCAGCAGCCGCGGUAAUACGUAGGGGGCAAGCGUUAUCCGGAUUUACUGGGUGUAAAGGGAGCGUAGACGGCAUGGCAAGUCUGAUGUGAAAACCCGGGGCUCAACCCCGGGACUGCAUUGGAAACUGUCAGUCUAGAGUGUCGGAGA
rnacentral:rRNA from 1 species